rnacentral:rRNA from 1 species
AUUGAACGCUGGCGGCAUGCUUUACACAUGCAAGUCGAACGGUAACAGGCCUUCGGGUGCUGACGAGUGGCGAACGGGUGAGUAAUGCAUCGGAACGUGCCCAGAGGUGGGGGAUAACGCAGCGAAAGCUGUGCUAAUACCGCAUGUGAUCUGAGGAUGAAAGCGGGGGACCAAGCAGCAAUGUUUGGCCUCGCGCCUCUGGAGCGGCCGAUGUCAGAUUAGGUAGUUGGUGGGGUAAAGGCCUACCAAGCCGACGAUCUGUAGCUGGUCUGAGAGGACGACCAGCCACACUGGGACUGAGACACGGCCCAGACUCCUACGGGAGGCAGCAGUGGGGAAUUUUGGACAAUGGGCGCAAGCCUGAUCCAGCAAUGCCGCGUGCGGGAAGAAGGCCUUCGGGUUGUAAACCGCUUUUGUACGGAGCGAAAAGGCUCUGGCUAAUACCUGGGGCUGAUGACGGUACCGUAAGAAUAAGCACCGGCUAACUACGUG